rnacentral:sRNA from 12 species
UGCCUAACCCUCAUAGAUUCAUUACGAGAUAUGGCAUAAAAACUGUUCAGGCUAUUAAGCUCGUCGUCAGAGCACCUGAACAGUCAUACCCCGAAAGGGGUAUGGGUAGUCCGCAAGGAUUAUC